GCGUUGGUGGCUCAGUGGUAGAAUUCUCACCUUCCAUGCAGGAGACCGGGGUUCGACUCCCGACUAACGCA
rnacentral:tRNA from 1 species